CAACAGUGUCUGCCAAGUAAGCCAGACUUCCAUUCAAGAACAGCCAAAUACAUGUUAUUUAAAAAUAUACAUAAGGGUGAUGUCAGCCUCAUGACAGAAUGAGCUCUUCCCUUAGACUCUUCUCCCUAGGAAAUAAUGAAAAGGAAAUUCAUAAACCAACAUGGGACAUUCACACAACACAAAAGAAGUCUGAGAGACCCACACAGCCAUGCAUCUGAACAUGGAGGUGCUAGACCCCUGGAGGAAGAGGAUGGAGAAAGGAAUUUAGAAGAGAAAGAUCUGAUUCUUUGGCCACAGUUCAAAGACAUGAGAUACAAUUCAGGGGCUGUGAUCGUGAACCUGGACAUCAUGACACAGGUUAAAAGCUGGAGAAGACUGAUUAGUCAGCCCAUGUCUCCUAAGAUUUCAAACACUUCCCAAAGAGAAGAAACUCUGAGAUGCAUCAAGUACAGACAGAAUACUCAAGGACACAUUCUUGGACCAUAGCUCAGGGCUUGAAGCCUGAUGAGAGAAGAAAAAAUCUUGGAAAGCUGAUUUUUGUUGAGUAGAUUCUCAUUUGUAUCUCUUUUAAAUUGUCUUCCAAUGUUCAAGAUACUGAGUCAUUUUAAUUUGAAUUUAGCAUCUUGCAGUUCAGUUCAUGCAUUGUGCAGGUAGAAUAAAUGAGAGCCGUACAAUCAAGCUUAACACAAGGUUGAAAUUUUUCUCUCUUGUGAGAGCUCUUUUUUUCCAGCAAAAUGUCCAGAGAGAUUGUAAUCUUUCAUGCUGUUUCUCUGGAUUUCCCAAAAGAUAUGAAACAUUUCAAUGUUAAGCACUUUAUGAAGGAGGCUUGUGCUUAACAUAUGCAAACCUAAAACAUAACUUUGUUCUCUCAUAGAUACUAGACUCAAGCUUUAGAGCCAAUUUUAAACUUGAAAACUUUGCUAGCCCAAAAGACAGCUUCUCCUAAGCACUCUGGUUUUGCUUUCUCUUCUUUGUUGACAUCUGAA
rnacentral:lncRNA from 1 species